UACGAGGGGGGCUAGCGUUGGUCGGAAUUCCUGGGCGUAAAGCGCACGUCGGCGGACUGUCAAGUCAGGGGGGAAAUCCCGGGGCUCAACCUCGGAACUGCCUCUGAUACUGUCAGUCUAGAGUCCGGAAGAGGUGGGUGGAAUUCCUAGUGUAGAGGUGAAAUUCGCAGAUAUUAGGAAGAACACCGGUGGCGAAGGCGGCCCACUGGUCCGGAACUGACGCUGAGGUGCGAAAGCGUGGGGAGCAAACAGG
rnacentral:rRNA from 1 species